ACUUACUUAUGCUUAAAAAACGA
rnacentral:snRNA from 1 species